GUGGUGUCGCUUGUUCAGCGCUUCGGCGUGCAUUCUGGCGGUACCUUGACGUCGUGGCUGGCUGGUUUGUGAUUUUGACGUUCCGGCUGGUGAGGGCUCCCUAACGGUGAGGACGACGACAAAAUGACGCAAUACGACCCGUCUUGAAACACGGACCAAGGAGUCUAGCACGGCUGCGAGUCGAAGGGUGUAAAACCCAAGGGCGCAGUGAAAGCGAAUCUUAAAGCAAAUUGGGGAGGCGUUGCGUUUUCAACAAAAUGUCCUACCUUGAGCAUUUGUGCUGGGACCCGAAAGAUGGUGAACUAUGCCGGAGUAGGGCAAAGCCAGAGGAAACUCUGGUGGAGGCUCGUAGCGAUGCUGACGUGCAAAUCGCUCGUCGAACUUGGGUAUAGGGGCGAAAGACUAAUCGAACUAUCUAGUAGCUGGUUCCCUCCGAAGUUUCUCUCAGGAUAGCGGGCCGACAUAUGUUGUUUUGUGCGGUAAAGCGAAUGAUUAGUGCAUUUGGUGUCUAAUAGAUGUCGGGCGAUUCUCAAACUUUAAAUGCGCAAGGGGGUGGCUGCUUAAUUGAGCCUACUCUUUGAAAAACGUCGGCCCUGUGGGCCACUUUUGGUAAGCAGAACUGGCGAUAAGGGAUGAACCUUAAGCGCGGUUAAGGCGCCGCAUUGCCCGCUUAUAGACCCCACAAAAGGUGUUGAUUCAUUUAGACAGCAGGACGGUGGCCAUGGAAGUCGGAAUCCGCUAAGGAGUGUGUAACAACUCACCUGCCGAAUGAAUUAGCCCUGAAAAUGGAUGGCGCUGAAGCGGGCAGCCGACACCGCGCCGUUCCGGCGAGACGAUGCCGGGAUGAGUAGGAGGGCGUGGCGGUCAGUGACGCAGGCGAGGGUGCAGACCCCGCUGAAACGGCCGCUAGUGCAGAUCUUGGUGGUAGUAGCAAAUAUUCAAGCGAGAUCCUUGAAGGGCGAAGCGGGGAAGGGUUCCACGCAAACAUCGAUUGGGCGUGGGUGAGUCGUUCCUAAGCCGAGUGGCAAUUGCUAAGUAGCGGCGAAAGGGAAGCGGGUUAAAAUUCCCGCACACGGAUAUGGAGGCGGCGACGCAAGCAGAGGCAAAUACGCUGGCGAGGGCGCUGGGCAGAGUUGUCUUUUCUGUUUGACCGGCAUCGCGCUGUGUGGAAUCCGCUUAUCGGGAGAAACACGCGCGGGGAGGGGCAGAGCGUCAGGUCUUUUCUGGCGUCCGGCUCGCCCUCGACGGCCCUUGAAAAUUUGCCCGCGAACUAAUUUCAUGCUGUGACGUACCGAUAACCGCAUCAGGUCCCCAAGGUGAACAGCCUCUGCUCAAUAUGAACAAUGCAGGUAAGGGAAGUCGGCAAAAUAGACCCGUAACUUUGGGAAAAGGGUUGGCUCUAGUGGAGCGGGGGUUUUCAAAGGGAGCACACCUGCACUUGCCGCAGGGCGGAUGUGGCUAGCUCACGCUGGACGUGUCUGCUCCGUGUCUUGCGCGGGGGUCGUUUCUCGCCCUCAGCAUGCUCCAGACUAGAACUGCAACGGGCAAAGGGAAUCCGACUGUUUAAUUAAAACAAAGCAUUGCGAGG
rnacentral:rRNA from 1 species